ACCCGAAAGAUGGUGAACUAUGCCUGAAUAGGGUGAAAGCCAGAGGAAACUCUGGUGGAGGCUCGUAGCGGUACUGACGUGCAAAUCGUUCGUCAAAUUUGGGUAUAGGGGCGAAAAGACUAAUCGAACCAUCUAGUAGCUGGUUCCCUUCGAAGUUUCCCCUCAGGAUAGCUGGAGCUCGAAUUUGUGUUUAAACAGUUUUAUCAGGUAAAGCGAAUGAUUAGAGGUCUUAGGGUUGUAACAACCUUAACCUAUUCUCAAACUUUAAAUGGGUAAGAGGAGUAAGGCUACUUAACAGGUUAUAAAUGUCUUUAAGAAUUUUUCAAUAGAUUGUUCUUAAAACCUUUAUAAUCGAUGGUGUUCGUUCGCGAACAUCGUUAAUGAGCUUUCUCGCUCAAUGGAAGAGCUCUUAGUGGGCCAUUUUUGGUAAGCAGAACUGGCG
rnacentral:rRNA from 1 species